rnacentral:siRNA from 1 species
GACCUAUACCCGGCCGUCGGGGCA